AUGAAGAAAAUAAAAGAUCAUUUGUCAAAAUUAUACUCAGAACAUGACACAUUUAAGGAAGACCUCGUAGCAGUCCUUAACCAUCCACUCAUGCCAGUAGAGUUUGAAGCGGCAUGGCACGACCUCAUGGACAGGUACAACUUACAGAAUGACACCAUCCUACUGGGCCUAUGGGAAGAGAGAACAACAUGGAUAUCUGUAUACUGGAAGGAGAUAUUCUGCGCUAGAAUGACAUCAACACAGAGAAGCGAAAGCAUGAAUCAUAUCCUGAAAAAAGGUUUCGUGAAAGAAACACAAGUGCUUCACAUAUUUGCCAGACAAGUCAAUGAAUGCAUACAGAAGAGGCACCAGCUUGAGGUUGCCGAGACACUAGCUUCAAUGGGUGUCAGGAACCCUCUCACUAGGUACCUUUUUGAGAAACAACUGAUGGACGUGUACACACGCGCGGUCUACAACUUAUUCCGUGAAAGACUAUUUGAAAGCGGCGCCUUCCGAAUCAAACAGUCUACUGAGCAUCCAACGAAGUACUACAUACACCACUACAACCAGGAGAAAAAAUUUGCAUGGUCAAGGCACGAAUUCCAGGUGGUUGCUGAUGAAACAAAUGGCGAAUACGAAUGCGAGUGCAAACUCUUUGAUCACAUAGGACUAUUCUGCCAUCACAUAAUUGCGCUGCUGGAACACCUCCGAGUGGCUAUAAUACCAGAUCGAUAUAUAUUGCAACGGUACACAAGGGAUGCAAACAGUGACUCAGCAUUCAACCGCAGAUACUACACGAAUACAACCGCGGAUGGUACACUAAUUCAAUACCGCCGCACAAUGCUGCUGAACGAGACACUAAAGACUGUGCAAAAGGGGGUAAAGACAGAUGCAUCUUACAACAGGCUGAUGACAUGCCUGAAACAGGUG
rnacentral:rRNA from 1 species